rnacentral:siRNA from 1 species
GCCGUGAUCGUGGUCUGCAG